GAUUGAGUGGCCGAUUAGGUGUUAAAUUGUAAAUUUAAUUAUAGGUUUAUCCUCUUGGUCA
rnacentral:tRNA from 1 species